rnacentral:rRNA from 1 species
AACGAACGCUGGCGGCAUGCCUAACACAUGCAAGUCGAACGAGACCUUCGGGUCUAGUGGCGCACGGGUGCGUAACGCGUGGGAACCUGCCCUUAGGUUCGGAAUAACUCCCCGAAAGGGGUGCUAAUACCGGAUAAUGUCUUCGGACCAAAGUUUUAUCGCCUUUGGAUGGGCCCGCGUUGGAUUAGCUAGUUGGUAGGGUAAAAGCCUACCAAGGCGACGAUCCAUAGCUGGUCUGAGAGGAUGAUCAGCCACACUGGGACUGAGACACGGCCCAGACUCCUACGGGAGGCAGCAGUGGGGAAUAUUGGACAAUGGGCGAAAGCCUGAUCCAGAAAUGCCGCGUGAGUGAUGAAGGCCUUAGGGUUGUAAAGCUCUUUUACCCGGGAUGAUAAUGACAGUACCGGGAGAAUAAGCUCCGGCUAACUCCGUG